rnacentral:lncRNA from 1 species
AUAAAACAUGAGUUAUCAGAUAAUUCAUCCAGAAGUUAUAUAACUAUUUCAGAACAAUCAUCUUUUAAUAGUUCAUCGCAUGAUAGUUCUUAUGAUGAUAUUUGUGGCUAUGAAAAAUACAUGAAUAGUGAUGACAGCUGUUGUAAACGUGGCCAGUAUGACAAGAGAAGUAAGACGAAUAAUCCAAUGCAACAGUAUAGACAAAAUAAAAUUAUAAAUAAUGUGAUUAAUUCGUAUAAAAAAAACUCAGAGAAAGACAUGUCAGAAGACGAAUAUGCAAAUUAUAUUGAUAAUAAAGAAAAAUAUGUAAACCUAAUUAUAAAUAGAAAACACUCUAAGUUUCAUGAACAUGAAAAGGAUUUUGACCAGGAGCAAGAAACGAAUGACACAAUGGAUUCAAACCGUAAUAAUAAAAAUCGUGAUAGUAAUAGUAAUAGUAAAAGUAGGAGUAGUAAAAGUAGGAGUAGUAAAAAUAGGAGUAGUAAAAAUAGGAGUAGUAAAAAUAGGAGUAGUAAAAAUAGGAGUAGUAAAAAUAGCAGUGGUAAAAAUAGUGAGAUAGAACAAACAUCAGCUUUAAAAAACGAUCAUCAAAAUUCGAUUAUGUCAGAUCAAAUUGAAAAUACUUUACCAAAUAAAAAAAAAAAUAAUGUUUUAAAACAUGGCUCACUCCAUAGAAGUGGGCACGACAAACAUAAGCACGACAAAGAUAAACACAAUAGUCAUAGCGACAGUGAUUAUAGCACAAAAAUUAACGAUAAAAAACAUACCUAUAGUAACCAUACAAGUAAUAACGACGAAUAUGAAGACGUACUUUCUGUUGUCAGCGGUUCGGACAAUAAUAAUGGACCAUAUAACAUGUACCACAAUCAGAAAAACUACUUAAAUGUUAAAGAUGGUAGUAAAAAAGGAAAAAGUAAUACCAAAAGCAAAAGUAGCAGUAAAAAUAAAAGCAGGAGUGGAAGCAUAAACAGAAGCAAUAAUAUGAACGACGACUACAUCGACCAUGAAGCAAACGAAAAACAACGCUUUGAGAAAAUAAAUGAAUAUAAUACCAUUACCAACGAAGGCUCCAAAGAAAUGACAAAUACUAUUAAUUCUGAAAAAAAAAAGGAAAAAAAAAAAAAGAAAAAAAAAAGAAAUAGCUAUAGUAACAGUAGUGUUAAUAAAAGUCGUAGUAAUAGUGAAAAUAAAAAAAGUAGCGAUAACAACAACAAUCAGAAGUACGCAACUACCACCGAAUCAACACAUAAGCGAAAGUCUAAAAAAAAAGAAAAAGAUUUUAAUGACUUAUCAACUAACUCAAACAAAAAAUCAAGUAGAAAAAAAAACAAAAAAAUAGAUACUAUAAUCGAUUUAAAUGAAGAUUAUGAGUUUCAAAGAGUACUAAAUGCAACUAUUAAUACGUGUUAUCCUAAAAUAAAAAAUACAAGAAAUAAUCAAGACAUUGCAGAAACAAUAGAAAUGCUAUCUCAUCUUGCUAUAGUUAAUGAUAAAGGUAGUGAGAAAAAUGUAAAUGGAGAAGCAGAAGAUACUAAUAAUAUAAAUAAUAAUGAUUCACAUGCACAACAACCAACAAAUCAUGUUGUGACUAGUUUAUAUGACGAAUUGGAUAAUAUAUUAGAAGAUAGAAAUAAAUUAUAUAUAAAACAAAAGGAUAAAUACCUUGCAAGUAUGAAAAUGACUAAUGAUAAAAUUGUUGGUACUGGUAUGGUUGGCACUGGUAUGGUUGGCACUGGUAUGGUUGGCACUGGUAUGGUUGGCACUGGUAUGGUUGGUACUGGUAUGGUUGGCACUGGUAUGGUUGGUACUGGUAUGGUUGGUACUGGUAUGGUUGGUACUGGUAUGGUUGGUACUGGUAUGGUUGGCACUGGUAUGGUGGGUACAGGUAUGGUGGGUACAGGUAUGGUUGGUAUAGUUCCGGGUGACACAUACGAAAAGGAUAAAGCGAUGGGAGCAAAUACAAUAACAGCAACAACUAAAGUACCAAGUGAUACUACAUAUCCAAAUAAUACAAAUCUUAACAAUAUACAAUCUAUGCAUAAUCCACCCAGUAAAUACGAACCGAACCCUUUUUUUUACUAUUUAAGCAAUGACAUGAUCGAGCUAAACGAAAACGUUUUUAAAUUAUACAACAAUAAAUGUGUAUAUCCUCAAAGAACUGAUUACACUAAAGGUAUUAUAAAUAUUAUACCACAGUUACAUAAUAUUUAUGAAAAUAAGAAUUUAUGUUAUAUAAAAGAUGAACCAAAAUUCAAAGAAAUUUAUAAAGUGAUACCUGAAUGGAAAGAACCAUUUGAAAUGUUAAAUAAAAAAGCACAAGAAGACACAAAUCAAAUGAAAAAUAUAUUAAAAAAAAUAGAAAAUAUAAAAAACGAUAUGGAAGAAAUACAAAAAGAUUAUAUAGAAGAUAAACAAGAAGUUGAGAAUGUAAAAUUUGAAACAAUGCAACAAGAAUCUAUGAUAUCUGCUUUUGAAGUGAAAAAUAAAAAAUAUAUUCGAGGAGUAUUACAAUUAGAUAACAUGGUUUUUAAAAUAAAAACCAUAUAUAAUAUGCAUAAUACAACUAUUAAUAGUACUAAUAAUAACAAUACUACUACUAGUAGUCAUAAUAUAAACAAUUUUAAUAUAAUUGAAAGUAUUAACAACUUAUUAAAAUGUGCCAAUAACCCAUCAAAUGAUUAUACACCACAAUUACUUGUUGAAGAAAAUGAAAUUGAAAUAUUAAGAUUUCAAAAGCAAGACACAUUAUCUGCAAUUGCAUCAAAUACAUUUGGUAAUGGUGGUAUUGUUAAUAACAAUAUUCUUUCCAGUAAUACUAUGAGCUAUAACACUUUGACUAAUAUAGAAGAAGAAGCAUGUUUUAUCAUGUGUUUAAUACAAGAUGAAUUAAAAGAAAUGAUAAUGGAAAAAAAAGAAAAAUUAAAAAAUUUGAUAAAACAAUCUUUUCGAUAUCAUAUUAAAGAAAAUAUAUCUUACAAAGAGUAUAUAACAAACUUAUUAAACAAACAAAAUAUUCUAAUUGAUCGUAUAAAAUCGAAUAUACAAUAUAAUAUAAACGUAUUGUUUGAAUUUUAUUAUAAUUUUUACAAAAAAAAAAUGAAAGUUAUAAUUAUACCAAAAAAAAGUAUAAAAAAAUAUAUUCAUACAAAUAUUAAAAAAAAAUACGCAUUUUUUUUUGAUGACAAUGCAAUUACAUGCUCUAGUGUUAACAACAGAAACAAUUCUUCCAACAACUCUAAUAAACUUUACAAACAUUUCAGAUCAAUCAAUUUUACAAGAAAAAAAGUAAUUAUUCACCCCUUCUUUACUCAAUACUGUUUGAGUGAUGAAUUUGUAUAUCAUUUUAUUACUUUUGUGCUAAAUCCAUUAUCUGAAAAAAACCAACAAAAUUUUAUUCAACAUUGUUGCACGGCUGGAUUCUAUGCUUUAUUAUUUAUUGAAAAAAUAGUCAAAUUGUAUAAGAAAGAAAAACAUUUUUCGAAAUUUGAUACAUCAUAUGAUUUACAAUCAGCUUACUCAAAAAUAAUAUUACCAGAUGUUCAGCGGUGUCAGGCGUAUGUCCAGGAUGGUCAAGAUAGGCAGGAUGGUCAGGAUAGGUCGUAUGGCCAAGAUGGGUCCUAUGGUCAAGGUGGGUCCUAUGGUCAAGGUGGGUCCUAUGGUCAGGAUGGGUCCUAUGGUCAGGAUGGGUCGUAUGGAUCGCAUAUGGGGGGGAACUACGGAUCAGUUUUACCAUAUCAACCUAAUAAUAUGUAUAUGUCUAAUGCGGGCAUGUCUAAUACCGGUAUGUCUUACACGGGAACGACCUAUGGGAACAUGUCGCUAUGGAAUGAACAUAACCAAUACUUAAUUGCUCUAAGAAAUGCAUCUGCUAGUUGUUUUAAAACAACCGAUGUUAUUAAAGAAUAUAAUGGUAAUAAUAAAUUAAAUAUUUCUGAUUAUUUGGUUAAUGCUUUUCAUUUGAUUCAACAUAUACCAGAAUCAGUCACACAUAUGUCAAAUAAUUUUACAAUUGCCAUUAAUCAAACUUUUAACCACAACAAUAAUAAUAUAUACAAUCCUGACAUGGGACAACAUAGUAUGGGACUACAGAGUACGGGCCUUUCAAACAUUCACCCAAAUAAUACACAAUCACCAAAUGUACAACCAAAUAAUAUGUUGGGUUUAUCAAAUUAUAACUCCUUGAAUCUAGGAGGCAACUUUCCGAUACCUCAAGAUAGAACGUUAAAUGCGAAUAACAGCCUGGUUAAUAAUUAUAUGUUUAAUAAUAAUAUGCUUAGUAAUAAUAUGCUUAGUAAUAAUAUGCUUAAUAACAAUAUGCUUAAUAACAAUAUGCUUAAUAAUAAUAUGCUUAAUAAUAAUAUGCUUAAUAAUAAUAUGCUUAAUAAUAAUAUGCUUAAUAAUAAUAAUACGCUCAACGCCAACCUGUUUAAUAAUAAUAAUAAUAAUAAUAAUAUGUUGGGUAAUAACACAACUCCUAGUAUGUUCGGUACAGCAAACGUAAAUAAUACCAACAUGAAUAUAAUGAAUAAUGUUAAUAAUAACAUGAAUCCGCUAAACAAUGCUAUGUCAAGUCCUACCACUACUACUUCAUCUAACUUGUUUAGUAAUAUAACGAAUAAUACAACUAAUUUAUUACAAAAAAAUACACCUAAUAUGUUCGGAAGUAACAUAUCUAACAACGCAUUCGCAAAUAAUACAACAAGAAAUAGUCCUAGCAAUCUCUUCGGAGCCACUAACAACACAUCAAGUAACAUGUUCAGUAGUGGCCAAACGAAUAACUUAUUUGGAGCUAGAAAUAACAACAAUAACAAUAAUGCCACUAGUUUGUUUAACAAUAAUAAUAAUAUGUUAGGUAUGUCAAAUAAUUUUGGUGCGACUGGCUUGGGUGCGACUGGUUUGGGUGCGACUGGUUUGGGUGCGACUGGCUUGAGUGCGACUGGCUUGAGUGCGACUGGUUUGGGUGCGACUGGUUUGGGUGCGACUGGUUUGGGUNNNNNNNNNNGGUUUGGGUGCGACUGGUUUGGGUGCGACUGGUUUGGGUGCGACUGGAUUAGGAACAAGCGGGUUAUUUAAUAAUAAUAACACAUCCAACCUCUUUAAAUCACCCAUGAAUAAUAACCAAAAUACUAAUAUAAGCAGUAGUCCAUCAAACUUAAUGUCAAACAGUAUGUUUAAUAAUAGUAGCAACUCGUUCAAUAAUACUAUAACUACUAAUGCUACGAAUAAUAAUAAUAUUAUGAAUAGUGGUAUAUUUUCAGGUUUUAAUACUUCAAAUAAUAAUAAAACUAAUAUGCUUUCAUGUAUGAAUAAUAAU